UAGGUUUGUCCUAAGUCAAACUUGUUUAACUUUGACCAACUCUAUAGGAAAAAUGUGUUAGGAUCUGCAACCCCAAAUACACAUAGUAUGGAAAUAUAUUUUAUAAAGAAUCUCAUGAGACUAAUUUGGUGUUCUAGAUGUUAAUAUAUUUUUCUAUAGACGUGGUCAAACUUAAACAAGUUUGACUUAGGAGAAACAUAG
rfam:Triticum aestivum genome assembly, contig: Triticum_aestivum_CS42_TGACv1_scaffold_273644_3DS